AUUGAACGCUGGCGGCAGGACUAACACAUGCAAGUCGAACGAGUGGCGGACGGGUGAGUAAUGUCUGGGAAACUGCCUGAUGGAGGGGGAUAACUACUGGAAACGGUAGCUAAUACCGCAUACCAUCUGAUGUGCCCAGAUGGGAUUAGCUAGUAGGUGGGGGAAAGGCUCACCUAGGGGACGAUCCCUAGCUGGUCUGAGAGGAUGACCAGCCACGCUGGAACUGUGACACGAUCAAGACUCCUACGGGAGGCAGCAUUAGGGAAUAUUGCACAAUGGGCGCAAGCCUGAUGCAGCAAUGCCGCGUGUAUGAAGAAGGCCUUCGGGUUGUAAAGUACUUUCAGCGGGGAGGAGUUACCCGCAGAAGAAGCACCGACUAACUCCAUGCCAGCAGCCACGGUAAUAC
rnacentral:rRNA from 1 species